UACGUAGGGAGCAAGCGUUGUCCGGAAUCAUUGGGCGUAAAGCGCGCGUAGGUGGCCACAUAAGUCCGUUGUGAAAGUCAAAGGCUCAACCUUUGAAAGCCGAUGGAUACUGUGUGGCUAGAGUGCGGAAGGGGCUACUGGAAUUCUCGGUGUAGCGGUGAAAUGCGUAGAUAUCGAGAGGAACACCUGCGGCGAAGGCGGGUAGCUGGGCCGACACUGACGCUGAGGCGCGAAAGCCAGGGGAGCGAACGGG
rnacentral:rRNA from 1 species